CAGUGUACCCGCGGCAAGACGGAAAGACCCCGUGAACCUUUACUAUAGCUUGACACUGAACAUUGAGCCUUGAUGUGUAGGAUAGGUGGGAGGCUUUGAAGUGUGGACGCCAGUCUGCAUGGAGCCGACCUUGAAAUACCACCCUUUAAUGUUUGAUGUUCUAACGUGGACCCGUAAUCCGGGUUGCGGACAGUGUCUGGUGGGUAGUUUGACUGGGGCGGUCUCCUCCUAAAGAGUAACGGAGGAGCACGAAGGUUGGCUAAUCCUGGUCGGACAUCAGGAGGUUAGUGCAAUG
rnacentral:rRNA from 1 species